UUGUUGAUUUUUAGAAAUUGCUGGUGUGAUAUUCUAUAUGACCCAGCUGUCACUGGCUAAAUGAUGCCCCCUUCUGAGCCCGGAGCUGUGUCAAACUCUUCCAGCUACUUCCCUACUGCAUGGAUGGACGUUAGGUUCCCAUAACCAGGGACUUCGUUGCAGGCAGAGAGCAGCUAAGCCUGCUGUUCACCUUCACAGCCAGGCAGCCUCCGGACGCCAGCACUUCCCACAUAGACUGGACCCAGACUGCCUUCACCUCGACCCCUGCCCACGAAAUGGUCUCCUUGUUUCCAGAACACCCCUGGCCACUCUCCCCAAUCGGGUCAAGGAAAUGGGUGCUACUUCCUAGUGAUUCCUGGAAUCACCACUGAGGCAGGACCCAGAACAGCCCCCAUCCUUAUUUAAGCUGAAGGAGACAACUGCCACCAGGUGGCGCCAACCUCAGCGGCCUGGACGUGAACAGAUACGGAUCUUGCAGCUCUGGCUGUUAAAACUGGCCUGUCAUUUAACUCACCUGGCAAUAAUGACCCCGCAUUUACACGGAGGAAGUUUGUCCUGUCAGAGCCCACAGUGUUUGUUGCUGUCAAAGGGGCCAGUUGCAAACAGUCUCUCAGAAAAACAAAAUUCCCAGAGAAGAAAUCAUGAGGUUUAUGCCUCAAGCAUCUCAGUUAAAAAAUGAAGACAUU